AACGUGCAUUAGUGCAGAUCUUGGUGGUAGUAGCAACUAUUCAAAUGAGAACUUUGAAGACUGAAGCGGAGAAAGGUUCCAUGUGAACAGCAAUUGGACAUGGGUUAGUCGAUCCUAAGGCUCAGAGUAACUCCGUUAUAAGGCGGGCUUUUUUCGGAAAGCCCCGGUGGCCGAAAGGGAAGAAGGUUAAAAUUCCUUCACCUGGACGUGGAUAACGAGUGGUAACACAAGCAAAACUGGAGACGUCGGCUGGAGUCCCGGGAAGAGUUCUCUUUUCUUGUUAACAGUUCCGCAGGCCCUGGAAUCGGAUUAUCCGGCGAUAGGGUCUGGUGGCUGGGAAAGCAGCUUAAUCUUUGAGCUGUCCGGUGCUCUCCAGACGGCCCUUGAAAAUCCGGUGGCGUGACUUAUUUACACCCCAGGUCGUACUCAUAACCGCAUCAGGUCUCCAAGGUGAGUAGCCUCUAGUCGAUAGAGUAAUGUGGAUAAGGGAAGUCGGCAAAAUAGAUUCGUAUCUUUGGUAAAAGAAUUGGCUCUGAGGAUUGGGCUUAGGAGUCCUAGUUGUAAGAUUGGGAAGCCU
rnacentral:rRNA from 1 species